rnacentral:rRNA from 1 species
GAUGAACGCUGGCGGCGUGCCUAAUACAUGCAAGUCGACAACAGCGGCGGACGGGUGAGUAACACGUGAGUAACCUGCCCUUUUCUUUGGGAUAAGCCUGGGAAACUGGGUCUAAUACUGGAUGGAUUGGGAUGGGCUCGCGGCUUAUCAGCUUGUUGGUGGGGUGAUGGCUUACCAAGGCUUUGACGGGUAGCCGGCCUGAGAGGGUGGUCGGUCACACGGGGACUGAGAUACGGCCCAGACUCCUACGGGAGGCAGCAGUGGGGGAUAGUGCACAAUGGACGAAAGUCUGAUGCAGCGACGUCGUGUGGGGGAUGAAGGCCUUCGGGUUGUAAAGUACUUUCAGCGGGGAGGCGUUACCCGCAGAAGAAGCACCGGCUAACUCCGUGCCAGCAGCCGCGGUAAUUC